rnacentral:rRNA from 1 species
GACGAACGCUGGCGGCGUGCUUAACACAUGCUAGUCGAACGGAAAGGCCCUGCUUUUGUGGGGUGCUCGAGUGGCGAACGGGUGAGCAACACGUGAGUAACCUGCCCUUGACUUUGGGAUAACUUCAGGAAACUGGGGCUAAUACCGGAUAGGAGCUCCUGCUGCAUGGUGGGGGUUGGAAAGUUUCGGCGGUUGGGGAUGGACUCGCGGCUUAUCAGCUUGUUGGUGGGGUAGUGGCUUACCAAGGCUUUGACGGGUAGCCGGCCUGAGAGGGUGACCGGCCACAUUGGGACUGAGAUACGGCCCAGACUCCUACGGGAGGCAGCAGUGGGGAAUAUUGCACAAUGGGCGGAAGCCUGAUGCAGCAACGCCGCGUGCGGGAUGACGGCCUUCGGGUUGUAAACCGCUUUCGCCUGUGACGAAGCGUGAGUGACGGUAAUGGGUAAAGAAGCACCGGCUAACUACGUGCCAGCAGCCGCGGUGAUACGUAGGGUGCGAGCGUUGUCCGGAUUUAUUGGGCGUAAAGGGCUCGUAGGUGGUUGAUCGCGUCGGAAGUGUAAUCUUGGGGCUUAACCCUGAGCGUGCUUUCGAUACGGGUUGACUUGAGGAAGGUAGGGGAGAAUGGAAUUCCUGGCGGAGCGGUGGAAUGCGCAGAUAUCAGGAGGAACACCAGUGGCGAAGGCGGUUCUCUGGGCCUUUCCUGACGCUGAGGAGCGAAAGCGUGGGGAGCGAACAGGCUUAGAUACCCUGGUAGUCCACGCUGUAAACGGUGGGUACUAGGUGUGGGGUCCAUUCCACGGGUUCCGUGCCGUAGCUAACGCUUUAAGUACCCCGCCUGGGGAGUACGGCCGCAAGGCUAAAACUCAAAGGAAUUGACGGGGCCCCGCACAAGCGGCGGAGCAUGCGGAUUAAUUCGAUGCAACGCGUAGAACCUUACCUGGGUUUGACAUGGAUCGGGAGUGCUCAGAGAUGGGUGUGCCUCUUUUGGGGUCGGUUCACAGGUGGUGCAUGGCUGUCGUCAGCUCGUGUCGUGAGAUGUUGGGUUAAGUCCCGCAACGAGCGCAACCCUUGUUCACUGUUGCCAGCACGUUAUGGUGGGGACUCAGUGGAGACCGCCGGGGUCAACUCGGAGGAAGGUGGGGAUGACGUCAAGUCAUCAUGCCCCUUACGUCCAGGGCUUCACGCAUGCUACAAUGGCUGGUACAGAGAGUGGCGAGCCUGUGAGGGUGAGCGAAUCUCGGAAAGCCGGUCUCAGUUCGGAUUGGGGUCUGCAACUCGACCUCAUGAAGUCGGAGUCGCUAGUAAUCGCAGAUCAGCAACGCUGCGGUGAAUAAGUUCCCGGGGCU